GGUUGUCCCGGUUUAAGCGUGUAGGUGUGUGUUCCAGGUAAAUCCGGUUCACUUUAACACUGAGGCGUGAUGACGAGGCACUACGGUGCUGAAGCAACAAAUGCCCUGCUUCCAGGAAAAGCCUCUAAGCAUCAGGUAACAUCAAAUCGUACCCCAAACCGACACAGGUGGUCAGGUAGAGAAUACCAAGGCGCUUGAGAGAACUCGGGUGAAGGAACUAGGCAAAAUGGUGCCGUAACUUCGGGAGAAGGCACGCUGACACGUAGGUGAAGUGAUUUACUCACGGAGCUGAAGUCAGUCGAAGAUACCAGCUGGCUGCAACUGUUUAUUAAAAACACAGCACUGUGCAAACACGAAAGUGGACGUAUACGGUGUGACGCCUGCCCGGUGCCGGAAGGUUAAUUGAUGGGGUCAGCGCAAGCGAAGCUCCUGAUCGAAGCCCCGGUAAACGGCGGCCGUAACUAUAACGGUCCUAAGGUAGCGAAAUUCCUUGUCGGGUAAGUUCCGACCUGCACGAAUGGCGUAAUGAUGGCCAGGCUGUCUCCACCCGAGACUCAGUGAAAUUGAACUCGCUGUGAAGAUGCAGUGUACCCGCGGCAAGACGGAAAGACCCCGUGAACCUUUACUAUAGCUUGACACUGAACAUUGAGCCUUGAUGUGUAGGAUAGGUGGGAGGCUUUGAAGCGUGGACGCCAGUCUGCGUGGAGCCAACCUUGAAAUACCACCCUUUAAUGUUUGAUGUUCUAACGUGGACCCGUAUCCGGGUUGCGGACAGUGUCUGGUGGGUAGUUUGACUGGGGCGGUCUCCUCCUAAAGAGUAACGGAGGAGCACGAAGGUUGGCUAAUCCUGGUCGGACAUCAGGAGGUUAGUGCAAUGGCAUAAGCCAGCUUGACUGCGAGCGUGACGGCGCGAGCAGGUGCGAAAGCAGGUCAUAGUGAUCCGGUGGUUCUGAAUGGAAGGGCCAUCGCUCAACGGAUAAAAGGUACUCCGGGGAUAACAGGCUGAUACCGCCCAAGAGUUCAUAUCGACGGCGGUGUUUGGCACCUCGAUGUCGGCUCAUCACAUCCUGGGGCUGAAGUAGGUCCCAAGGGUAUGGCUGUUCGCCAUUUAAAGUGGUACGCGAGCUGGGUUUAGAACGUCGUGAGACAGUUCGGUCCCUAUCUGCCGUGGGCGCUGGAGAACUGAGGGGGGCUGCUCCUAGUACGAGAGGACCGGAGUGGACGCAUCACUGGUGUUCGGGUUGUCAUGCCAAUGGCACUGCCCGGUAGCUAAAUGCGGAAGAGAUAAGUGCUGAAAGCAUCUAAGCACGAAACUUGCCCCGAGAUGAGUUCUCCCUGAGACUUAGAGUCUCCUGAAGGAACGUUGAAGACGACGACGUUGAUAGGCCG
rnacentral:rRNA from 1 species